GGCUAUAGCUCAGCGGAUUAGAGCAACUGCCUUCUAAGCAGUGGGUCGUGGGUUCGAUUCCCUCUAGC
rnacentral:tRNA from 1 species